rnacentral:rRNA from 1 species
AACUUUUAAUAAUAAAUUUCUUAGUUCCCACAUCAAUGAAGAAUGUAGUAAAACACAAUAAUUAAUAUAAAUUGCAGAAUUCAAUAAAUUAUCAAGUUUUUAAACACACAUUACACUUACUGGUAUUUUGGUAAACAUGUCUAUUUGAGUGUUA